AUUGAACGCUGGCGGCAGGCUUAACACAUGCAAGUCGAGCGAGCGGCGGACGGGUGAGUAAUGUCUGGGAACCUGCCUGAUGGAGGGGGUUAACUACUGGAAACGGUAGCUAAUACCGCAUACCAUCAGAUGUGCCCAGAUGGGAUUAGCUAGUGGGUGGGGUAAUGGCCCACCUAGGCGACGAUCCCUAGCUGGUCGGAGAGGAGGACCAGCCACACUGGAACUGAGACACGGUCCAGACUCCUACGGGAGGCAGCAGUGGGGAAUAGGGGACAAUGGGGGCAAGCCUGGUGCAGCCAAGCCGCGUGUGUGAAGAAGGCCUUCGGGUUGUAAAGCACUUUCAGCGGGGAGGCGUUACUCGCAGAAGAAGCACCGGCUAACUCCGUGCCAGCAGCCGCGGUAAUUC
rnacentral:rRNA from 1 species